GGGGAGGUAGCGAAGCGGUCAAACGCAUCAGACUGUAAAUCUGACGGCCCACGGCCUUCGAAGGUUCGAAUCCUUCCCUCCCCACCA
rnacentral:tRNA from 1 species